AAAUUUACAGAAUUGAUAGGUGAGGGGACCGAAACUGCAAUUUGCCCAUAAGUAGAAGCAAUCAUCAUAACCAGAGAAAACCACCUUUGACUGAAGUUAAUGGAAAGUACACUAGCGUAACUAACUGCUGCUCACAGCUAUUAAAUGGAGGUGUGCCAGAAAGGCAGCAGCUCCACUUCCCAUUUCCACCUCAAAACCUCAAAUCAAAACAAAGCAGUAGUUCCAAUAUUCAUAAUCCUUCCCACUCAAAUUAGUUACUACUGCUCCUUUGCUAUUGGCAAUUAGGAAGAUGUCAAGGCGAUCUGGGGCGAAGGUUGAGUGCAAAGAUGGUUGGUGCAAGUGAUCUCUCUUGCCUCUGUCUAUCUUUAAUUUAUCCGCUUGUUUCAUUAUAUAUUAUUUGAGGUAGAUAGAUCCACCUGUAUAGAGGCUGCAAGAUUGGUAGUUUGGGAAGUGAUUUGCUGUGCUGCAGUUAAUGUUGUUGAGUCUUUUGUGCUGUAAGAACUCUCCUCAGGGCACCCCAUGAACUGCGAGUACUAAUGCCAAUUUGUUUGAUUAGUGAUGCACAAUUGCACAAUUGCAGCUGAAGACUUGAGACCUCA